AGCCCUGCACACCCCUCACCCCGGGCCUGGCCCGGGACCGACCACGGAGGCGGAGGCCGCGGGCACCGCGCUGGCCCCACAGGUGCCGCGGAGGGUGGCAGGCCCGCUGGCCGAGGCACUGCCGAGGCCGUCCGAGAUGGGAGCUGGCGGUGCCUCCUUCCGCGCCCUCGCCUGGGCCUCCCUGCCCCUGCUGGGGCCUCC
rnacentral:lncRNA from 1 species